UCGCAAUGGCCGAAAGGGUGACGAAGCGACGCCGCGUGUGGGAAGAAGGCCUUCGGGUUGUAAACCACUGUCGGGAGUUAAGAAAUGUAAGGAUGUUAAUAGCGUCCUUACUUGACUAAGGCUCCGGAGGAAGCCACGGCUAACUCUGUGCCAGCAGCCGCGGUAAUACAGAGGUGGCAAGCGUUGUUCGGAAUUAUUGGGCGUAAAGAGCACGUAGGCGGCCUUGAAAGUCAGUUGUGAAAGCCUUCCGCUUAACGGAAGAACAGCAUCUGAUACUACAGGGCUUGAGUGCGGGAGGGGAGAGUGGAACUUCUGGUGGAGCGGUGAAAUGCGUAGAUAUCAGAAGGAACGCCGGCGGCGAAAGCGGCUCUCUGGCCCGUAACUGACGCUGAGUGUGCGAAAGCUAGGGGAUCAAACGGGAUUAGAUACCCCGGUAGUCCUAGCCGUAAACGAUGGGCACUAA
rnacentral:rRNA from 1 species